GUGAGCAAUCUGCCCUUGACUCUGGGAUAAGCGCUGGAAACGGCGUCUAAUACCGGAUACGACCCUCGGAGGCAUCUCCUGUGGGUGGAAAGAACUUCGGUCAAGGAUGAGCUCGCGGCCUAUCAGCUUGUUGGUGAGGUAAUGGCUCACCAAGGCGACGACGGGUAGCCGGCCUGAGAGGGUGACCGGCCACACUGGGACUGAGACACGGCCCAGACUCCUACGGGAGGCAGCAGUGGGGAAUAUUGCACAAUGGGCGCAAGCCUGAUGCAGCAACGCCGCGUGAGGGACGACGGCCUUCGGGUUGUAAACCUCUUUUAGCAGGGAAGAAGCGAGAGUGACGGUACCUGCAGAAAAAGCACCGGCUAACUACGUGCCAGCAGCCGCGGUAAUACGUAGGGUGCAAGCGUUGUCCGGAAUUAUUGGGCGUAAAGAGCUCGUAGGCGGUCUGUCGCGUCUGCUGUGAAAACCCGAGGCUCAACCUCGGGCUUGCAGUGGGUACGGGCAGACUAGAGUGCGGUAGGGGAGAUUGGAAUUCCUGGUGUAGCGGUGGAAUGCGCAGAUAUCAGGAGGAACACCGAUGGCGAAGGCAGAUCUCUGGGCCGUAACUGACGCUGAGGAGCGAAAGCGUGGGGAGCAAACAGGCUUAGAUACCCUGGUAGUCCACGCCGUAAACGUUGGGAACUAGAUGUGGGGACCAUUCCACGGUCUCCGUGUCGUAGCUAACGCAUUAAGUUCCCCGCCUGGGGAGUACGGCCGCAAGGCUAAAACUCAAAGGAAUUGACGGGGGCCCGCACAAGCGGCGGAGCAUGCGGAUUAAUUCGAUGCAACGCGAAGAACCUUACCAAGGCUUGACAUAUACGAGAACGCGCUGGAGACAGCGAACUCUUUGGACACUCGUAUACAGGUGGUGCAUGGUUGUCGUCAGCUCGUGUCGUGAGAUGUUGGGUUAAGUCCCGCAACGAGCGCAACCCUCGUCCUAUGUUGCCAGCACGUCAUGGUGGGAACUCAUGGGAUACUGCCGGGGUCAACUCGGAGGAAGGUGGGGAUGAGGUCAAAUCAUCAUGCCCCUUAUGUCUUGGGCUUCACGCAUGCUACAAUGGCCGGUACAAUGGGCUGCGAUACCGCAAGGUGGAGCGAAUCCCAAAAAGCCGGUCUCAGUUCGGAUUGAGGUCUGCAACUCGACCUCAUGAAGUCGGAGUCGCUAGUAAUCGCAGAUCAGCA
rnacentral:rRNA from 1 species